rnacentral:rRNA from 1 species
GGGCGCAAGCCUGAUGCAGCCAUGCCGCGUGUGUGAAGAAGGCCUUCGGGUUGUAAAGCACUUUCAGUCAGGAGGAAAGGUUAGUAGUUAAUACCUGCUAGCUGUGACGUUACUGACAGAAGAAGCACCGGCUAACUCCGUGCCAGCAGCCGCGGUAAUACGGAGGGUGCGAGCGUUAAUCGGAAUUACUGGGCGUAAAGCGUACGCAGGCGGUUUGUUAAGCGAGAUGUGAAAGCCCCGGGCUCAACCUGGGAACUGCAUUUCGAACUGGCAAACUAGAGUGUGAUAGAGGGUGGUAGAAUUUCAGGUGUAGCGGUGAAAUGCGUAGAGAUCUGAAGGAAUACCGAUGGCGAAGGCAGCCACCUGGGUCAACACUGACGCUCAUGUACGAAAGCGUGGGGAGCAAACAGGAUUAGAUACCCUGGUAGUCCACGCCGUAAACGAUGUCUACUAGAAGCUCGGAACCUCGGUUCUGUUUUUCAAAGCUAACGCAUUAAGUAUACCGCCUGGGGAGUACGGCCGCAAGGUUAAAACUCAAAUGAAUUGACGGGGGCCCG